rnacentral:rRNA from 1 species
GGAAUAUUGCACAAUGGGGGAAACCCUGAUGCAGCAACGCCGCGUGGGUGAAGAAGUAUUUCGUUAUGUAAAGCCCUAUCAGCAGGGAAGAGAAUGACGGUACCUGACUAAGAAGCCCCGGCUAACUGCGUGCCAGCAGCCGCGGUGUGACGUAGGGGGCGAGCGUUAUCCGGAUUUACUGGGUGUAAAGGGAGCGUAGACGGUUGUGCAAGUCUGAAGUGAAAGCCCGCGGCACAACUGCGGAACGGCUUUGGAAACUGUGUAACUGGAGUGCUGGAGAGGUAAGCGGAAUUCCUGGUGUAGCGGUGAAAUGCGUAGAGAUCAGGAGGAACACCGGCGGCGAAGGCGGCUUACUGGACAGUAACUGACGUUGAGGCUCGAAAGCGUGGGGAGCAAA